rnacentral:rRNA from 1 species
AGCGAACGCUGGCGGCAUGCCUAACACAUGCAAGUCGCACGGGGGGGCUUCGGCCCCCCCGUGGCGGACGGGUGAGGAACGCGUAGGGACCUGUCGAGGGGUGGGGGAUAACCGCGGGAAACUGCGGCUAAUACCGCAUGACGCCGCGGCGUGACAGCCGGGGCCAAAGGCGAAAGCCGCCCGCCGAGGGGCCUGCGUCCGAUUAGCUGGUUGGCGGGGUAGCGGCCCACCAAGGCGUCGAUCGGUAGCUGGUCUGAGAGGGUGAUCAGCCACACCGGGACUGAGACACGGCCCGGACUCCUACGGGAGGCAGCAGUGGGGAAUAUUGGACAAUGGGCGCAAGCCUGAUCCAGCAAUGCCGCGUGGGUGAAGAAGGUCUUCGGAUUGUAAAGCCCUUUCGGCGGGGACGAUGGUGACGGUACCCGCAGAAGAAGCCCCGGCUAACUUCGUG